GAAGACUAGUGAUUUUGUUGU
rnacentral:miRNA from 4 species